AUGAUAGGGAUGUGGAGAUUUUUGUGCAUGUUUCCGAACACGGCCUUCAAACGGGGUGUUUUUCUUCCAGCUUCUGUUCUAACAGUAAAUGUUGUGCUAGCAAAAAUGUGCAUUUUGAUAAGAGAUCUGCAGGCCAGGGCUUGUGUGGGUCCGCUGCUUAAGACUAGGGCUGUUUGUCAGGAGAUGAUCUCUGUCCGUAGGAAGGAAAAGGCUGCAUGGCCUAAGACAGGACAUCUCUGGUUCCACGUGGACCUAGGGCUGGAUUUAAAGGCUGGAUGGUUGGGCCUCUGUGGCAUCACAAAACCCUGUGAGUCCAGCAGAGCCGAGCGCAGGGAUCGUGUUGCCCAAUUGCUUUCCACUGGAGAAGGCAGGGAAGUCUGGUGUGGAGGGUGGGGUUGCCCCCUCGGCUCUCAGUGGCGCUGCCUUCUUCCAGGGCGGGGCCUCCAGCCUUAUAUCUGGGGCUCUCACUGCCGCAGGUGGGUCCUGUCUGCUGGAAAGAUGAUGUCUCUCUUCUGGAUCUGUUGUCUCGCGCCGCUGGCCUCUGUGCUGGGCCACACGCAGGCAAACUAUGCGGGUAGGUUUCCUGGACUCUGGCAUCCGAAAACCGCUUUCUCGGUGCAGCUGAUGAAGGAGAUGUCAGACAGGUUGCACAACGAAGCUAAAGUUAAAGCUAUCGAAUCGUGGGGAUUCUUGGACAACCACUACAACACCACGUUCAUGCCGCUCAAGGGGGAGGCCACGCACGUCGUGAUACAGCCAAAGGUGUGCAACGUGGUGAUUCUGCUUAUCCCGGGAAACGAGAAGCCUUUCUUCUACCACGAUCCCUGCCAAGAUUUCAGCAGCUAUCUGCAGCGNAAUGCCGAGGUCCAGCGCGAACACCAACGUCUCCUGGAGCGCCUGUACCAACGUCAGCGCGAACGUGAACGUCAACACGGACACGGACACGAGGGCGAAGCCGAAGUAGAAGAGGAGGGGACGCCCUACAUGUGAGGGCAGGCCGGAGACGCCGGCUCCCCGUCCCUUUUCCCUUUCCCCCCAGCUCAUUCCUACCUGCCACACCUCUGCCUGACAUGUUCGCAGCUCCGUGGCGUUUCCCGCAUGGGGUCCAGGUGGCUGAUGGGUGCAGAGUGGCUCUGAGGGCCGGAGGCAGGCAAGGGAGUCCGGCUCAAAGUUCCCCUUAGCUGUGGAGGCACCCGAGGCUCACGGGGUUCCUGUGGAAACAGAACUGGCCCGAGGGGAACCCAACAGUCCUUCCCUUUUGCGGUGGGAAAGCAGUUUAGUGCAAGUCGAGUGGAUUCUUUUGGUCACACCUGCUUUGAAAAUCCACGACAGGCCGAGCGCUCCACAUACCUCCACCGAACUCCCUUCGGUUCUCCCUGUUUGCCUCCGUUUGCCUCUGAUCCGUAGGGCUGCGCNCGUCCACACUUGUGUGCUCAAACCGGUUUCUCUGCCCAGAACAGCCGCCCUAGGGAACCAGGCCAAACUCCCCGUAUCCCAGCUCUUGGGGCUGCAGGGAUACCACCUGCNCACUGUCUCCGCAGUCUGCCAGGGAGCGCCGGGUUGGGGUUCCUGGUUCCUCACUUGGCAGCGGCGCCUGUCCUUGUGCCUUUUCACCAGUGGAAACAAGAGUUGCCCCCCACCCCCAAAGCCCCCCUCCUUUUCCUCAUUUCCCAGCUGCAAUUUAGGGUAGAAUAAAACCAGCGCAACUUGCA
ensembl:lncRNA